rnacentral:lncRNA from 1 species
GUUACAGCUAGAAGGAAGAACCUCUCAUCACCAACUCCGUGACAGAGACCAGCAUUUUGUUAAGGGCCAAAAGACUGCUACCACCUCUCACUUGCGUGAGAUGUUCCUAAUGGCAUGCUGCUAUGUUCUGAAGAGGAAAGGAAGACAAUUUGGGAAAGUGGACAUACAACCUUAACUUGUAGAAGGGGCAGAAGAGUUAAGCUUCCUGCAUUGUGAAACUUUUGGAACUCUGGGUUCUGUUAGCAUUUGCAGACUAAACAUGGGGUGAAGACUGGGAAAUGAGAUGGUAUUGUUGCAAGACAUGAGGUGAGCAGAAUUGUCAGAGAUUGGUCAUUGCCAUACUCA